CCUUCCUCUGAAGUAGGCCCAUUGGGAGAGAGGACUCAAAGAGCUAGGCAAACACUUCAUUGUUGGACUUGAGCCCUCGCACAGCAUUGUCUCUUCUCCUGAGGUCCUGGGGGCAGGAUAGGAGCUUCAUAGCAGAGGGCACUGGGUCUCCAGAGUACCAGUACUCUCCUGAGGGGCUGACUGCAGGAGAGGUGACAAACUCUAGCUACUCGGAGUCUAUCAGUUCUAGGGGUCUUUCCUCAAGACUGGGAGCCUCGGCUGUGCUGUGCUCAUCUUCCACAGAGGAUCCCCUCCAGAUCAGACUCCAGGUAGCACAAGUCUCAAAGCUGGGAUGAGGAGAGCCAGGCAACCAGUCAGCAAUCAGGGUUGAAAACAGUAGUCAGAAAUCAGGAACACACCAGAGGACAAGCCAAGCAGAAUGUCAGGAAUGAGAAGAUAAACUGGUAGCCAGAAAUCAAGAAUACACCAGUCAGAUGGUCAGGAAUCGAGAGUGAACAAGUAGCCAGAGGUCAGGAUCACGGCAGAGGUCAAGCCGAGCAGAAUCAGUAAUGGGGAUGAGCACCUACUGAACGACCUCUUUUCUUGUAGAAGUGCCCUGUCCUCCUUUUUGCUUCUUGUCACUCCAGUGAACUCGGAGCCACUAGUGCCACUCACCCAUUCCAACUUUCUUCAGUUUUCAUAGACCUGAUCAAGUAGUAUCAUUUCACUUGCAUCUUUUUGUUUGUUUCCAUUGAAUAAACGAGUCUUACAUGAUUAGGGAA